GCAGCUCCUAACCUUUUGUUGGGUCCCCUGCCCCUUGGAGAAUCUGCGGAAAGCUACACGCUGUCUCUUCAGACGAGGAAGACAGGGUGCGCAUUCAUGCGCCUAUGACUUCAGGGCUGUCACAGAUCCCUGAAAAGUCAAGGAAAGCCUUGUCUAUGCCAGUGAUUUCCCAGGCUGAGGCUCCAGUGGAAUGAAUGAAUGAAUGAAUGAACAGGUGAGGAGCAGAGAAGCUGCACGCAGAUGGAGGAACCCAAGGUACUUUUUGACUCUUUUUCUGGGGAGACAAAGUCGGAGCUUAGAGAAAUACUCCUACGAUUGUUUAUUUACACGUUCAUCCCAUGACGUCUUACUCAUCUUGAUGUCCCCAGCAAACAGCGCAGGGGACCUCCUGAGGCUUGGGACGGGUGCGUUAAUCAAGGGUCCCUCUGGAGAGCGGUUGUCCUUCCCAGCAGCUCAACCUCCUGCCGUUAGGGCCCCUCUGCCCUCGCACCGCCUCCACUGCCAGUCUCCUGGGGACCUGUGAGCGCCCUGUGCAGAUCAUGAGGAAAGGGGCGCGGAGGGCCCCUCCGAGGAGUAAACUCACGACUCACUUAUGUGACGGGCUUGGGUUACGCGCCUUAAAGGACGGCCGCCCUGCUGCAGCCGUGCCUUCGGAGAUCCGGGUGGGUGAGGGCACCAGCUGGGAAAACUCCUCCGGUGAGUUGCCAUGGUAACCAUGACCUUGCCUCUCCUGAAGCGAGUCCCGAGAGGAAGCCGCCCCAGGGGGUGGGGAGGAGGGUAGGAAUCCAUCAAAAGCCCCGAACCCUGCCCUCCUAUACCCUUUUCUUCGCUCCUCGCGGUUUACACGCUCAAGGUAGAUGCCAUUGUGUGUGGGCAUCUGAGUAGAAGCUGCUGAAAAUAGCCACUCGACUAUUUCAGGGAGAAGAUGAAUAUGCAUGAAGCUAUUUCAGAAAAGCUGUCCCUGGCCCGGCCAAUCCAAACCCCAUCCUUCCCUUUGGAAAUGCCAAGAGAGGCUGAAUGGGACCUUUCUUAGGCUGGCCCACGGGGGUGGGGGGUUUUCAGAAGCCGCAGAAACACCCUGGCUAAUGUUGGUCUUGCAGCUCUGUCAGCUCUGCCUCCCCAUCCUGUGGUCACAGAGGCUCCUGGCCAGA
rnacentral:lncRNA from 1 species